GACAGGAAACUGAUACAGACUUAGGACGGAGUAUUACGCAACACCAAAAAAGCAAGAAGGGCAGAGACAUGCUACGACAGGAUAGGAGUCAUCGUGCUAAGAGACUUUAAAGGCUGUCUAUCAUAUCGUCUGUUUAUAUGAAAUGUGUGGAGCAGAAAAUAUCCAUCGCAGGCUGGCGUGGUGUAAUCCUAGGACUCUGGAAGCCGAGGUGGAAGAAUGGGAGGUUUGAGAUCAGUCUGGGCUGCACAGCAAAACCAUCUCAGAAAGCCAAAAAGAGGAAAGAGACCAUUUAAUCACAAUGUGGAUUACAGGUACCCAGGUGUAUCGGCCAUUUCCAGGAGACACUUUUACAUCACUCUUUUCCAAACUCUGGCUCUUGUCUUCCCACCCCCUCAGCCACCAUUUUUUUUUUUUUUGAGACAGUGUCUUAUUGUAUAGCCAGUCUGGAACUUGCUGUGUAGACCGCCCUGUCCUGGAACGCAAGAGAGAUCAGCCUGUCUCUGCCUCUUGAGGACUAGAAUUAAAACAAUGUUCCACCAC
rnacentral:lncRNA from 1 species